UACGUAGGGGGCUAGCGUUGUCCGGAUUUAUUGGGCGUAAAGAGCGUGUAGGCGGCCAGGUAGGUCCGUUGUGAAAACUCGAGGCUCAACCUCGAGACGUCGGCGGAAACCCUCUGGCUAGAGUCCGGAAGAGGAGAGUGGAAUUCCUGGUGUAGCGGUGAAAUGCGCAGAUAUCAGGAAGAACACCAGUGGCGAAGGCGGAUAACUGGGCUGUAACUGACGCUGAGGUGCGAAAGCUAGGGGAGCGAACGGG
rnacentral:rRNA from 1 species